GAUGAACGCUGGCGGCGUGCCUAACACAUGCAAGUCGAGCGGUAAGGCCCCUUCGGGGGUACACGAGCGGCGGACGGGUGAGUAACGCGUGGGAAUCUACCCCAAACUGAGGGAUAAGCACCGGAAACGGUGUCUAAUACCGCAUAUGGUCUUCGGAUUAAAGCUUCGGCGGUUUGGGAAGAGCCCGCGUAAGAUUAGCUAGUUGGUAAGGUAAUGGCUUACCAAGGCGACGAUCUUUAACUGGUUUGAGAGGAUGAUCAGUCACACUGGAACUGAGACACGGUCCAGACUCCUACGGGAGGCAGCAGUGAGGAAUUUUCCACAAAGGGGGCAACCCUGAUCCAGCCAUGCCGCGUGAGUGAUGAAGGCCUUAGGGUUGUAAAGCUCUUUUACCCGGGACGAUAAUGACUGUACCGGGAGAAUAAGCCCCGGCUAACUUCGUGCCAGCCGCCGCCGUAA
rnacentral:rRNA from 1 species